rnacentral:lncRNA from 1 species
GUCCGAGGAUACCUUGCGGUUGAGAUUAUUCCCUUUCUCUCUUCGAGGGAAGGCAUUAGAUUGGCUGGAGAGACUCCCCAACCACUCCAUCCAUACAUGGGAUGAGUUUGAGGACAAAUUCAUUGCAAAUGUUUUCUCACCGGGUCACAUGGAAACCAUAAGGGAUGAAAUCUUAGCCUUGAAAUAGGAGCCCGACGAUCAACUACA